GCCAGUUAUUACUUGGGAGAAGAUACCACACUCCACCUGUCUAAAACCUCCUGUCAGGUAGUUGAAGAGAGCAAUAAGAUCUCCCCCAAGCCCCUAUUUCUCCAGGCUGAGCAAAUCCAGCUCCCUCAGUCACUCCUCAAGUGGCCCCAAGACUGAGCCCUGGGGAACAGCACUGGUGACCAGCUGGCACCUGGAUGUAACUCCAUUCCCCACCACUCUCUGGACCCGGCUGUCCAUCCAGUUUUUCUGCCAGCAAAGAGCACACCUGUCCAAGCCACAAGCAGACAGAUUCUCCAGAAGAAUGCUGUGGGAAAGUGUCAAAGGCUUUACUAAACUACAGGGAAACAAAGCCUCUUCCUCAUCUACUAACCAGCUCUUCUUGUCAUGGGAGGAGAUCAGGUUACUCAGUCAAGCCUUAUGUUAAGUACCUCAGAAUCUUCCUCCUUCUCCUUCUUUGUCACUGUGCUUCCUCCCAACCAGCAAAGGCUGAAGAUUCUCCUGAGCCCUCCUUUUGUUGCUAAUGUACUUACUUAUUUUUUAGUCUUUUACAGCACUGGACAAAUUAACUUCCAGUCAGGUUUUGGCUCUUCUAAUUUUCUCCCUUCAUAACCCCACGACAGCUUGAAGUCCUCCUGAGUGGUUGCUCCUCCUUCCAAAGGUCAUAAACUCUCUGGCUCCAUCUGAGUUUCAUCUCAGUUCCAUCCAAAGCCCAGGCUGGCAGGGUGGGGUCACCAUGGGGCUCUGGCACCUGUGACAUCAGAGGGGACAAGUCCCCAGGUGCCCCAUCUGGCAGUGCAACCACCAUUUCCCUGCCACCCAGCCCUGCUGAGCCCCUUCUCUCCAUCCUCCUCCUCCAGGCCAUGGCUCUGAGCGUCACCCAAAUCCUCAUGGUGCUGGGUGUCCUACAGUUCACGCUGCUGAUGGAUGACCAGUCAGUCAAGGUCACGGAAGAGUUCCUGAAGCAGCAUGAGGAGCGUCUGAAUCAGGAGAUGGUUUGGCUGAAGGAGAUGGAGAAGAGCAUCCAGGAGCAGACCAAACUCAGUGAGGAAAGCCUGCUCCUCUCUGCCUGCCAGCAGUGGUGGUUCUGGGCCUUUGCUGAAAUCCUCCUCGUGAUUUUUGGGUUCUACUGGCUACCCAAGCAGAAGAGCGCUGGCUCUGAUGGCAGCAGCCAGUGGGGAAACUCCAGCAGUGCCCAGGAGCAGAGAAAGGAGAAGAACUGGGAAGAUAAACCAGACCCUUACAACACUCAAGACAAGCCUCUGGAUAAGGGCUCAGCACCGUGGUGUGUCUGCCAGCGAGACACUCCUACGGCUAUUUGCAGCACCCACCGGAGAACGUGCUGCACUUCCACCUCUGCUGCCUGACAAGCCACAUCCCUGCUUCCUGUGCAGCCUCUGCACCUGCUGCCAGUCCUGAUGCUCCCCCUGCCGGGAGGCGUGGGAAAGAUUCACCUUUUGUGCAUGUUACUAAAAUUGUUCGUUUGAUUUAAGAAAUGCUUUAUCUGUGGGUGUCUGGGCAAUGUUGGAGGAUGGUACCCCUUGGCUCCAUCUCCUCUCUCUAACAAAGAGAUGAAGUUUGUGCUCCAAUUUAUGUUUGCAGUGAUUACACUUGUGCCGAGGUGCUUAGCACCUCCCUGUCUUCUCC
rnacentral:lncRNA from 1 species